CGAGCGAAAUGGGAAAAGCCUAAACUUAUUAUAUUAAUGAUAAGGGUAGUGGGACAAUUAUAAUUAAUUAAAUGUGACAAUUAGACGAAUAAGUUGGAAUCCUAAACCAUAGAAAGUGAUAGUCUUGUAGUCGAAAAUUGUAACAAUUCAAAUUGAAUCCCAAGUAGCAUAGAGCACGUGAAAUUCUGUGUGAAUCUGCGAGGACCACCUCGUAAGGCUAAAUAUUCCUAAAUGACCGAUAGUGAAAUAGUACCGUGAGGGAAAGGUGAAAAGAACCCCGGAAGGGGAGUGAAAAGAACAUGAAACCAUAAACUUACAAUCAGUAGGAGGACGACUAUAACGUCUGACUGCGUGCCUGUUGAAGAAUGAGCCGGCGACUUAUAGGUAGUGGCAGGUUAAAACAGAGAAUGUUGAAGCCACAGUGAAAGCGAGCCUUAAUAGGGCAAUAGUCACUAUUUAUAGACCCGAACCCGGAUGAUCUAACCAUUGUCAGGUUGAAGCUUAGGUAAAACUAAGUGGAGGACCGAACCGACUGAUGUUGAAAAAUCAGCGGAUGAACUGUGGUUAGGGGUGAAAUGCCAAUCGAAUUCGGAGCUAGCUGGUUCUCCCCGAAAUGCGUUUUGGCGCAGCGAUAAAUGUUUAAAUUUAGGGGUAAAGCACUGUUACGUAUGCGGGCUGGUAAUUCGGUACCAAAUCGUUGCAAACUAAGAAUACUAAAUAAUUAAAGUUUAUCAGUGAGACUGUGGGGGAUAAGCUUCAUAGUCGAGAGGGAAACAGCCCAGAUCGCCGGUUAAGGCCCCUAAGGGUGUACUAAGUGGAAAAGGAUGUGGGGAUUCAUAAACAACCAGGAUGUUGGCUCAGAAGCAGCCACUCAUUUAAAGAGUGCGUAAUAGCUCACUGGUCGAGUGAUCCUGCGCCGAAAAUUUCCGGGGCUAAAACGUACUACCGAAGCUACGGCAUCAUUUAUGAUGGGUAGGGGAGCUUCGUAUGCAGGCUGAAGCAUGACCGUAAGGACAUGUGGACAGUAUACGAGUGAGAAUGUUGGCAUGAGUAGCGAGACGUGGGUGAGAAUCCCACGGGCCGUAAACCCAAGGUUUCCAGGGGAAGGUUCGUCCGCCCUGGGUUAGUCGGGACCUAAGCCGAGGCCGAAAGGCGUAGGUGAUGGACAACAGGUUGAUAUUCCUGUACCGCCAAUAAGCGUUUGAGAGAUGGAGUGACACAGUAGGAUAAGCUAACCGUACUGUUGGUUAUGUACGGCUAAGCAUUGAGGCAGUCUAAAUAGGCAAAUCCGUUUAGACAAUGCUAGGAUGUGAUGGGGAAGCCCUUCGGGGCGAAGUAGCUGAUUUCACACUGUCAAGAAAAGCUUCUAUCGAGUUUAAAGGCGCCCGUACCGUAAACCGACACAGGUGGAUGAGGAGAGAAUCCUAAGGCCGACGGGAGAAGCAUUGUUAAGGAACUCGGCAAAAUGACCCCGUAACUUCGGGAGAAGGGGUGCCUGCGAGAGCAGGCCGCAGAGAAUAGGCUCAAGCAACUGUUUAGCAAAAACACAGGUCUAUGCGAAACCGAAAGGUGAGGUAUAUGGGCUGACGCCUGCCCGGUGCUGGAAGGUUAAGAGGAGAGGUUAGCGCAAGCGAAGCUUUGAACUUAAGCCCCAGUAAACGGCGGCCGUAACAAUAACGGUCCUAAGGUAG
rnacentral:rRNA from 1 species